AUUGAACGCUGGCGGCAGGCUUAACACAUGCAAGUCGAGCGGGCGAGGUCGCUUCGGUAACUGAGCUAGCGGCGGACGGGUGAGUAAUGCUUAGGAAUCUGCCUAUUAGUGGGGGACAACAUUCCGAAAGGAAUGCUAAUACCGCAUACGCCCUACGGGGGAAAGCAGGGGAUCUUCGGACCUUGCGCUAAUAGAUGAGCCUAAGUCAGAUUAGCUAGUUGGUGGGGUAAAGGCCUACCAAGGCGACGAUCUGUAGCGGGUCUGAGAGGAUGAUCCGCCACACUGGGACUGAGACACGGCCCAGACUCCUACGGGAGGCAGCAGUGGGGAAUAUUGGACAAUGGGCGCAAGCCUGAUCCAGCCAUGCCGCGUGUGUGAAGAAGGCCUUUUGGUUGUAAAGCACUUUAAGCGAGGAGGAGGCUACUUGGAUUAAUACUCUAGGAUAGUGGACGUUACUCGCAGAAUAAGCACCGGCUAACUCUGUGCCAGCAGCCGCCGUAAGAC
rnacentral:rRNA from 1 species